ACGGGAGGCAGCAGUGAGGAAUAUUGGUCAAUGGGCGGAAGCCUGAACCAGCCAAGUAGCGUGCAGGAUGACGGCCCUAUGGGUUGUAAACUGCUUUUGUGCGGGGAUAAAAAGCGGGACGUGUCCCGCCUUGUAGGUACCGCAAGAAAAAGGACCGGCUAAUUCCGUGCCAGCAGCCGCGGUAAUACGGAAGGUCCGGGCGUUAUCCGGAUUUAUUGGGUUUAAAGGGUGCGUAGGCGGAUGAUUAAGUCUGUGGUGAAAGCGUGCGGCUCAACCGUACCGAGCCAUGGAAACUGGUUGUCUUGAGUGUAAACGAGGUAGGCGGAAUGUGACAUGUAGCGGUGAAAUGCUUAGAUAUGUCACAGAACUCCGAUUGCGAAGGCAGCUUACCAGCAUACAACUGACGCUGAGGCACGAAAGCGUGGGUAUCAAACAGGAUUAGAUACCCUGGUA
rnacentral:rRNA from 1 species